rnacentral:rRNA from 1 species
AGCGAACGCUGGCGGCAGGCCUAACACAUGCAAGUCGAACGGAUCCUUCGGGAUUAGUGGCGGACGGGUGAGAAACACGUGGGAACGUGCCCUUUGGUUCGGAACAACUCAGGGAAACUUGAGCUAAUACCGGAUGUGCCCUUCGGGGGAAAGAUUUAUCGCCAUUGGAGCGGCCCGCGUCUGAUUAGCUAGUUGGUGAGGUAACGGCCCACCAAGGCGACGAUCAGUAGCUGGUCUGAGAGGAUGAUCAGCCACACUGGGACUGAGACACGGCCCAGACUCCUACGGGAGGCAGCAGUGGGGAAUCUUGCGCAAUGGGCGAAAGCCUGACGCAGCCAUGCCGCGUGAAUGAUGAAGGUCUUAGGAUUGUAAAAUUCUUUCAGCGGGGACGAUAAUGACGGUACCCGCAGAAGAAGCUCCGGCUAACUUCGU